CCUACGGGAGGCAGCAGUGGGGAAUUUUGGACAAUGGGCGCAAGCCUGAUCCAGCUAUUCCGCGUGUGGGAUGACGGCCCUCGGGUUGUUAACCACUUUAGUAGAGAAAGAAAAGCAGCUAUCGAAUAAAUAGUUCUGCUGACGGUAUUCUAAGAAUAAGCACCGGCUAACUACGUGACAGCAGCCGCGGUAAUACGUAGGGUGCGAGCGUUGAUCGGAAUUACUGGGCGUAAAGGGUGUGCAGGCGGCUGAGUAAGACAGAUGUGAAAUCCCCGGGCUUAACCUGGGAACCGCAGAUGAGACUGCUUGGCUAGAGUGCAGCAGAGGGGGGUGGAAUUCGAGGUGUAGCAGUGAAAUGCGUAGAUAUGAGGAAGAACACCGAUGGCGAAGGCAGCCUCCUGGGACGCAACUGACGCUGAUGCACGAAAGCGUGGGGAGCAAACAGGAUUAGAUACCCGAGUAGUC
rnacentral:rRNA from 1 species